UGAAAACCGCCGCCCGCUUGCAUUAAGGGCGUAUGAGACCUUAUAUUAGUUCAACUUCAAGACAUAUUGAUUUUUCAUGGUGAUGAGAUCAACACAGCACGUUUGCUUGCCCAGUCUAGGCCGGAAGCCGGCCUCUGGCUGAAUGCCCUGCCUUCGGCUCACAUCGGUAAUCUGUUGGGAGAUGACGAACUGAAGAUCAGCAUUGGUCUCCGCCUCGGUGCCACGAUCUGUGACCCUCAUGACUGCGCUAAAUGCCAUAAACCAGUUGAUGGUUAUGGGCACCACGGGCUGUCAUGUGCCUUUUCCGCAGGACGGCAUCCGCGUCAGCGGUAAAACAGUAUCUUUUGCAGAAGUUUUGUAUCUGCAGGUGUACCUGCAAAACUGGAGCCGCGCGGUACCUCCACACUACCGAACGCCACCCGGACGGCUGCACGACAUUCGCCUGGAAACGCGGGUUGUGUCUCGCAUAGGAUGUAACCUGCGUAGAUACAGUUGCGCCGUCACAUGUCAAAGCCACUUUUGCCACUGCGGGAGCGGCCGCCGUGCAAACGGAGGAUAAGAAGUCUAGAUUUUAUUCCUAUAUGGAUGACCGUUACGUGUUCGUACCGAUCGCCUUCGAGACGCUUGGAUCAUGGGGUCCGUCGGCGAUUGCAAUCGUCAAAGAGCUAGGGAAAAGACUGCAGCAGCACACGGGAGAAGCACCUCGCAUGAAUUUUUACGGCAGCGUUUUUGUCGAUAGAAAUCCAAAGGGGUUUUCAAGGGAAUUCCAACAUACCGAUGUAUGCCGGUGGGUGAUCGUGCAUGCGUAGGUCACAAGGAAAGCAAUGCCAAUCACUACUCUUGUCCCGUGAGGAAAUUGCUAUAAUUUCUCCCCGACUGACAGCUGAAUAAUGACAAUGCAAAUGGUCGCAAGAUCGCUUACAUCUGUAGCACACCCAAGACCUGUUGUUUACGUGAUAUUUUAAUGCGCCGAUUAAUCUAAUCAAGAGUACGUACAUUCACAUUUCAACGGGUUGUUACGCAAUCGUAAGUAUGCAGUGCAAAAUUGCUUUAAAAUAGCAACAUGCCAACAGCAAAGAAUUACCGGAAACAGGACUGAGUGCAUAAAUAGCGUUCGUCCCUUUUAUUUUUUUGUGGUAGAAUGGUCUGUCUUUGCCGCACUGUCAAAUCGACACGAUCGUGUAUAAUUUGUCUGAUGAGAA